UACGGAGGGUGCAAGCGCUAUCCGGAUUCACUGGGUUUAAAGGGUGCGUAGGCGGGUAGGUAAGUCAGUGGUGAAAUCCUGGAGCUCAACUCCAGAACUGCCAUUGAUACUAUCUAUCUUGAAUAUUGUGGAGGUAAGCGGAAUAUGUCAUGUAGCGGUGAAAUGCUUAGAUAUGACAUAGAACACCCAUUGCGAAGGCAGCUUACUACGCAUAUAUUGACGCUGAGGCACGAAAGCGUGGGGAUCAAACAGGAUUAGAUACCCUGGUAGUCCACGCCCUAAACGAUGGAUACUCGACAUACGCGAUACACUGUGUGUGUCUGAGCGAAAGCAUUAAGUAUCCCACCUGGGAAGUACGUUCGCAAGAAUGAAACUCAAAGGAAUUGGCGGGGGUCCGCACAAGCGGUGGAGUAUGUGGUUUAAUUCGAUGAUACGCGAGGAACCUUACCUGGGCUAGAAUGCUGGGAGACCGCUAGUGAAAGCUAGUUUUGUAGCAAUACACUGCCAGUAAGGUGCCGCAUGGCCGUCGUCAGCUCGUGCCGUGAGGUGUUGGGUUAAGUCCCGCAACGAGCGCAACCCCUAUCUUUAGUUGCCAACAGGUAAUGCUGGGAACUCUAAAGAAACUGCCGCCGUAAGGUGUGAGGAAGGAGGGGAUGAUGUCAGGUCAUCAUGGCCUUUAUGCCCAGGGCUACACACGUACUACAAUGGGGGAGACAAAGGGCUGCAACAUAGCGAUAUGAAGCCAAUCCCAAAAACUCCCUCUCAGUUCAGAUUGCAGGCUGCAACUCGCCUGCAUGAAGCUGGAAUCGCUAGUAAUCGUAUAUCAGCAAUGAUACGGUGAAUACGUUCCCGGACCU
rnacentral:rRNA from 1 species